CAAAAGAGUGGGAAGAGCUUUGAGUAGAGGUGACAAACCUACCGAGCCCAGUUAUAGCUGGUUGCCUGUGAAAUGAAUAGGAGUUCAGCCCUUUAAGUCUUUCCCCCCUCACCCAUGCUUACGCUAAAAUUGAUUAAGGAAACUAAAGGAGUUAAUCAAAAGGGGUACAGCCCUUUUGAUAGAAGAAACAACUUUGACAGGUGACCCAAGAUCAUAUUACCCAAGGAUUUCAAAUUAAGUGGGCCUAAAAGCAGCCAUCUUACUAGAAAGCGUUAAAGCUCAAAUUAACUAAUAUCCUCAUAUACUGAUAUCACAUCUCCCUCCCUGCCCCUUACCAGGCUGUCUUAUGCCCCCAUAAGAACAAUUAUGCUAAAAUGAGUAAUAAGAAGAAUUUAAUUCUUCUCCUAGCACAUGUGUAAGUCGGAACGGACCUCCCACCGACUAUUAACCGACCCCAAACCCAGAGGGAAAUAGGUUAAAAAAACAAGAAAUACACCUAUUUCACAUCGUUAACCCCACACAGGCGUGCCUAAAGGAAAGACUAAAAGAGAAGGAAGGAACUCGGCAAACACAAGCCUCGCCUGUUUACCAAAAACAUCGCCUCUUGCCCCUAAAAUAUAAGAGGUCCCGCCUGCCCUGUGACUAUAAGUUUAACGGCCGCGGUAUUUUAACCGUGCGAAGGUAGCGUAAUCACUUGUCUUUUAAAUGAAGACCUGUAUGAAUGGCAUCACGAGGGCUUAGCUGUCUCCCAUCUCCAGUCAAUGAAAUUGACCUCCCCGUGCAGAGGCGGGGAUGACUACAUAAGACGAGAAGACCCUAUGGAGCUUUAGACCUAAAGCAAGUCACGUUUAAUAUGCUACGACAACAGCGAAAACUUAGUGAUAUUUACUGAAGUGUCUUUGGUUGGGGCGACCGCGGGGUAAAACACAACCCCCAUGUGGACCGGGGAUAUUAUCCCUAAUACUCAGAGCCUCUACUCCAAGUAACAGAAAUUCUGACUUUUCUGAUCCGGUAUAACCGAUCAACGAACCGAGUUACCCUAGGGAUAACAGCGCAAUCCCCUCUCAGAGCCCAUAUCGACGAGGGGGUUU
rnacentral:rRNA from 1 species